AUUGAACGCUGGCGGCGGGCCUAACACAUGCAAGUCGAACGAGUGGCGGACGGGUGAGUAAUGUCUGGGCAACUGCCCGAUGGAGGGGGAUAACUACUGGAAACGGUAGCUAAUACCGCUUACCGUCCGAUGUGGCCAGGUGGGAGUAGCUAGUAGGUGGGGUAACGGCUCACCUAGGCGACGAUCCCUAGCUGGGCUGAGAGGGUGACCAGCCACACUGGAACUGAGACACGGUCCAGACUCCUACGGGAGGCAGCAGUGGGGAAUAUUGGACAAUGGGCGAAAGCCUGAUGGAGCCAUGCCGCGUGUAUGAAGAAGGCCUUCGGGUUGUAAAGUACUUUCAGCGGGGAGGCGUUACCCGCAGAAGAAGCACCGGCUAACUCCGUGCCAGCAGCCGCGGUAAUUC
rnacentral:rRNA from 1 species